rnacentral:rRNA from 1 species
UCCAGACUCCUACGGGAGGCAGCAGUGGGGGAUAUUGCACAAUGGGGGAAACCCUGAUGCAGCGACGCCGCGUGAGUGAAGAAGUAUUUCGGUAUGUAAAGCUCUAUCAGCAGGGAAGAAAAUGACAGUACCUGACCAAGAAGCCCCGGCUAACUACGUGCCAGCAGCCGCGGUAAUACGUAGGGGGCGAGCGUUAUCCGGAUUCACUGGGUGUAAAGGGAGCGUAGACGGCCAUGCAAGCCAGGGGUGAAAGCCCGGGGCCCAACCCCGGGACUGCAUUUGAAACUGUCAGGCUGGAGUGCAGGAGAGGUAAGUGGAAUUCCUAGUGUAGCGGUGAAAUGCGUAGAUAUUAGGAGGAACACCAGUGGCGAAGGCGGCUUACUGGACUGUAACUGACGUUGAGGCCCGAAAGCGUGGGGAGCAAACAGGAUUAGAUACCCGCGUAA